UACGUAGGGUGCAAGCGUUGUCCGGAAUUAUUGGGCGUAAAGAGCUCGUAGGCGGUCUGUCGCGUCGGCUGUGAAAUCCCGAGGCUCAACCUCGGGUCUGCAGUCGAUACGGGCAAACUUGAGUGUUGCAGGGGAGACUGGAAUUCCUGGUGUAGCGGUGAAAUGCGCAGAUAUCAGGAGGAACACCGGUGGCGAAGGCAGGUCUCUGGGCAUUAACUGACGCUGAGGAGCGAAAGCAUGGGGAGCGAACAGG
rnacentral:rRNA from 1 species